UUUAAAUAAUAUAAUUAAUUGUUAAAUUCAAAAGAAAAACAUUUAUAUUAAUUAUAUACAAAUAUUUUUUAGUCAAUUUAUCCUCAUAGAUCAUCCAUCAAUCUAAUCCAAGUCUACCUAUCAGCUUAUCUAUCAUCACCGAUAUUUCCUGUUUCUAUCAAACACAAUUUGAAAACGCAAAUGACUACAUGUCUAUCAUCGAAGAAAUAUUUUCCAGACAUUAACCCUGAGCCACCAUCUAAAAAAUGUAUCCCUAACUGUCGUCUAAGUUCUCACCACUAGCUCUUAUAUAUAUAUAUAUACAUAAAACGAACAAUUCCGCAAACCAGCUGACCGAACAAACGCGCACGUAUCGUUAGAUAACCGCAAAAAGAAGGGGCUACGUGAAAGGACUCCUGCUCGGCUGAUCUCCUGGAAGCACCGUUCGUUUAUCCGCUUGCUGUCGUUUCGCCGUACGGAGGCGAACUCGUUGCCAGGCAGCCCCGAACGAACGGGCUCUCGAGUUCUUUCCAGGUUUAUCCAGCUUCAUCUUCCAAGCACCAAGUUCGUUAUGGUAUAAUCAAGACAUUUGACGAUGAGGACGAAGAAAAUGAUGAUGAUGAUGAUGAUGAUAGCGUUGAUGAGAAAACAAUGAUGAUUUCUAACGUUAAGUCAGAGAAGCUGUUCUCUUCUGUCUUUCAACUUUGAAACCGUUUGCACGAGUUACUUUUUACGUUGAUCGUCCUUGGUCAGGAGAUACGCAUCAUCUUUUACCGUUCAAGGCCAGCGAAUUGACGGAAACUAAGCGCAAAAGAAAAAAAAGGAAGAAAAGAAUAGGAAGUAAUAGAAAGAAAAAGGAUGUUGAUGUAUAUAAGGAACGAACGUGAAAGAACAAUCCGAACACUUUGAACGUCGUCACACGACUGAACAGCCAUUCGAGACUUUCACUUGGGGGUAUCGUGAAGAGAACGUCGUCGUCGUCGUCGUCGUCGUCGUCGUCGUCGUCAGCGUGCUCUUCGUCGUCGAGGAACGUAUAAACCCUUCUUUCCUCUUCUUAAACUUCUCUCUCUCUCUCUCUCACCUCACCACAAUUUGGUUAUCGACGCCCACGCUCUUCGUAAACUGAAUCACGAUCGAGUUCUCUCAGUGCACGGAGUAAAUCCUUCACUCCGUGGAGUUUGUUGUUGAGGAGACGUUACUCGAACUACUUGCUUGCUCUUCCGAGUUUUAUUUCAAAUCAAGAAACGUUAAAUGUUAAUGACCAACAGCGUUUCAAGUUAAUUCAAAUAAUUUCAACACUUUUUUUUUUUUUUAUUUCAAACAAUAACGAAGAAUACUAUCUUAUUUUUCUUUCUUUCUUUUUUUCGAAAUUUUUAUUAACUCGUUAUGAUUAAAUAACUGAUCAAUUGAAUCUCAAGAAAAUACUUAUUUUGAAAAGAAACAUCCGUCUUCUUAUUCUUUCUAAGAGUUUUAAUCAAGAUAAGAAACGUUUGAAAGUUAAGCGAUAUGAAACGGAAACGGCUUACGUAAACUUUUUCUAUUUUUUUUUUCUUUCUUUCUCCAUUAUUUUCUAGUACAAAAUUCAUGUUGAUAUAUUAAGAAAUCUUUUUACAUAUAUAUAUAUAUAUGUAUAUUAUUCUGAUGCAGGCGAAGAGUAGUGAAACAAAGGAGAAGAGAAGCCUCUCUCCUUCGUGUUCAUCGUGAUAGUCCAGUAAUCGACGCGUAAUCGAAGCAGGUUUUAACCAGGCGUCUACCUCUCCUGGCAUAAUCUGACUUUCCAUCGUUAUACAGUUACUCGAGGGUGAAAGGUGAACCCUAGCUCCCUUCCAUCUCUUGCCGACAAGAGUCCUGAAUUCAUAAAGUGAAUCGACGAAGAAAAGAUCGUCUUCCUUCCUGUUUUUAUUAUCAAUCAAAAAUUAAUUUUUUUCUUUGUUUUUUUUCUCUCCUUUUUUUAAGAAAAUAAGCAUAACAAAACUAACUAAAUAAAACACAAUAUAAAAUUUAGGAAAUAUCUUUUGAAUAAUCUUGAUCAACAAACUAGCCUUGCGCUCAUUUCAAGAAACGAUCUUAUCCUGUGUAGAAUAAUAAAGGGACUUCACAACAUGUCCCUGAAUAAUAGAAAAUCAAAAUCUAACUUCUCUUUAAUCUAUCUCUUACUAUUCGAUCAACGUAUAUAACAUUCAUUAUUCUUUUUUCUUUUUCUUUGAUUUUUGUUCAGGUAUACAACAUACAUGUACUAUGCCCGACGAAAGUGACAUCAUAUUCUCUUCACGAACCAGUUCUCAUUGACUCUUAAAUACCGGUUUUCUUCGAUGGAACCUUCGCAGUAUUCUACACUCUUAACGGCGUUGUUGUUCAUCGGGUGAGGUCGUAACCUUAGGAGCUCCUAUGUUUUACGUACGAACGAUUGCGAACACAUGUAUAUAGUAUAUCUAUACUCCAAUUAACCAACCCUUAACACGAUCAAAUUAUCAUUUAUAAUAACAAUAUUAAUUUAUAGGAAAUUAGGCAAGGCAACUAAAGACAUGGAUGACAUUAUUCAUAAGAGAGUGCAACGAAUUUGUAGAAAAUCGAUGAAACGACGUUGGUUAUUUAUUUAUCAUCGAAUCGCUUUCUCCAUUAAAAAUAUCUUUCUUUAUUCUUCAUGAACGAACGAAGAAACAACAUUACCGUAUGUAUGAAACAAUGCCCUCUCCGUUUUGUUUUCAGUUUGUAAGGCGGCUAGUGUAUACGCUAGACCGAGCAGAAACCUCAAGUUGCAUUACAUAAGAGAAAAGUGUAACCAACCCUCUUCCUCCACCUCCACUUCCAUUUCUACCUCCUCUACCUACCAUCUCUACCUCCACCUCCACCUUUUCUUCUUCUUCUUCUUCUUCCUUUUUUAUACACUUCUUCUUAUUUCUUUUUUUUUUCUACUUGGGCAGCGUGUUUGCUAUCGGAUCCUCGUAUUGUGGGCGUCCAGACGAAUUUAACACAAGUCGAACACUUUCACAAAAGCAACACGUUGAAAUAAUCAUAGACAAGUUAAAUAUUAUAAGGAUCUAAUCAUAUUAUGAUAAUAUUGUAAUAGGUCAUUAAACUUAAAGAGAGAGAGAGAAAAGACAAUAAUAUUUCGAAAGUAUUAUAAAUUAAAUUGUGUAGUAAGAUAAUUAUGGUUCCUUUUACUUAAUUGAUUAUUUCAUUUUUUUUCUUUGGGGAUGAAUUUCUUUUUUGUUAAGUUUCGUAUUUGAUAACAUUUAUAACAUCUUGUCAUACACUUUUUUGCAUUUACUUUUGAUUUCGAUGAUAGAUUAACUUUUCUCUUUUAUAAAUGAUGUAUUAUUAUCUAUUAUGAUUGGUAUAUUACCUUCUCGAUCUCUCUCUCUCCCUCUCUCUCUCUCUCUCUCUCAAUUUUCAUUGAUCUCUCGGUAGUUUGAUAUAAAUUUGAUUCGCAAUUAAUGCGAAUCCAUAGAGCUCUCUCUUACAUUGGAGAAAAUUCUCUCUCGAUUUCGUUUCUCUUUUCAAUCUGAGCAAAAGUUGAGAAUCAUUUCUUACAAGUGGUUUAUGAUGACACUCUCUCUCUCUCUCUCUCUCUUUCUCUAUAUCUUUCUAAUCCCAAUUGUAUGCGACUUUCGCGUCUAUUAAUUUUCUUUUUUAAGAUAAAAUCACACAGAAAUCCUUCCAAAUGAACGAAUUACUACUCGUUUCUAUCUUCGAACGUGUGAAAGUAAAAUAUGACAGUAGACAUCAAAUUUAUAUACUGUGGGUGUACUUCCUCCUGUAAUCCUCCUUUCUUUUGAUCAUAUCUAAUUUCAUUUCUGUUGAGAUCAAUUUUAUAACGAUCAAAUGAGCAUAUGUUUCGAUUCAUUUGUUAUUUUUUUUUUUUGGUUUCUUAGGAAGUACACGAAGAUAUCCGAUGAUCUUAGCAAUGGUUACUUUCACACGAAAUGGAGUGAGUCGUUUGCGGUUGAGAGACUUGGAUCUUCUAAAGGAAAAGAUAGAACCUUAAGAAGACGACGAGGAUGCGGUGUACCAAAGGAGAAGAAGAAGAAGAAGAAGAAGAAGAAGAAGAAGAAGAAGAAAAAUAAGAAGAAGAAGUUGUCUUUGUGAUAUAUAAUUUAAUGCUCGACCAUCGAACGGUAAUAUCUUUGACUGCAGACGUAGACACUUAUAUACAUACGUUUAUUUAUCUUUUACAUUUGCAUACUUUUCUCGUUAAUUAUUAUUCUAGACGUUCGAAAGAAUAAAAUAGAUGACUAAGUCGUUUUACAUACAUAGGACGUUAAAACAAAAUAGAAGACUACCUUCAAGUAAUUUUCCUUCAGAAGAAUUCAUCUCUCUCUCUCUCUCUCCUUUCUUUCUUUUAUUUUCUUAUCAUAUAUUUUGGUAAAAGUAUUAAAACCUAAGAAGAAAUAUUGUUCUGCUCGAAUGCUUACCGAGUCUAUAAUUUUCUCGUUUUAAAGCGAUUGUCACCGUUUGUUCCAAUUCAAUGGGUUGACGUUCCCAAUAUGAUUUAUUAUUUGAAACUGUCGAUACAAAAUUCACUAUCUCCGUACACACAUCGGAUACUAUAUACUGGAUGUUGUGCGAAACCGUUAUGCAACCUGCAGUACGUAAGCUGGCGGUCUUUGCUCGCCUGGAUUCCAGUUGGCCUGUCCUCUUAUAUUGUGUCCUGCGUAUAAGUAAGAACAUUCAGGACAACAGGAUGAAGAAGAACGAUGUGUAAGGUGCAUAGAUUGAAGAUUCUAAAAUCAAUAUGACGUUAGUAACUCAUUGCGAGGAAAAGAAAGGAAGACGUUCUUCCAUUGAUUUUAUGAGAGAGAUUCGAUCUUGCUGAGGUAGUAAUAAUAAGUAAGUAAGGUGAAGAGUCGUCGUCUUCGUCAAGUAACACACAACAACCAAGGUGAUCCAGUGCGAAAGCGAGAGGCCUUUCUGAGGGACUCCCAGAAGAAAGGAAAGAUUGACGGAAGGAAGAAGACAGAAUCUGAAGAGCAAGAAGAAAAAGAAGAAGAAGAAGACGAAGAUAAAAACAAGAAUGAAAGAAAAAAAAUAAUACUUAUGAAACCUUCGAAGAGACAAUGAACUAGUAAUAAAAGUUAAAAGGGAUGGAUGACGAGGAUCUGCAUUAUCGACUAUCAAAUACAUUUAUACAAAAGUAAUAAUAUCUUUCUUCAUGAAUUGAAAUAACGAAUGGUCGAACAAAAGUCAGGAUGACCGGUCCUAAUAAUAACAUUUCAUAUGAAGAAAGUCAUGAUAAUCAUGGGGGUAUCAAAUGAAAUUAUAUGUCUGACAAUGUUCCCUGAUUCCUGUCACGUGAUUGAAAUCAUUUCUUCUUUAACAUAAUGAUUAUUUUCUCUUCGAGAUUUUUUCUUUUUUUUUUUUCAGUUAAAAUCAAAGCUUCGGUGGUCAGUAUUCUCUUCUUACAAUUAAACAAAGAGUCUGUGCUUUAAUCUUAUUUAAAACUUGUAACAAGCACAAUGGUAGUAUAACGAAGAUUAAUUGGAUUUGAAGAUGAUUAUCGUGACACUACCAAAAUCUCAGUGAAUUUUCUCUGAGAGGGAGGAGAAUUUAUAUGCCUUUCUGUAUGAUCUGACACGCUCUGUUCACUGUUAAUAUAUAUAUAUAUAUGUACAUGUGUUUCUUUCUUUCUCUUUUUGUGUUAUUAUUCAUGGAUACACGUGAAUGCAACAAAGAAGGAGACAGUGAAUAUGACAAAGGAAAAAGGGAAGUUAAAGAGAAAGAGGAAGAGAGGUAAAAAGAAAAUGAGAAAGAGGAGACAAGCUAAAGAGGGAUCAUGGUGGUCGAUGACGCCGGCAACGUCAGAAGAUGUCGGCAUCGUUGUUGUUGGUUCCCGGCUCGUGGGAGCGCCGCUUUAACCGCCUAUUUCUCCCGCCACGUUAUAACGCUGCAUGAAGCCGUCUCGCCGUCUCGCGUAAAUACUAUGUGGACGGUGGUAUAUAUAUACACAAUACAUAUACAUAUAGAAAUGCAAAGUAAUAAUAAAAAUAUAUUAACACUUUGCACUUCUUAGGUGUGUGUUGUGUGCCGCUAUUGUAUCAUUAAUAUCUUUUAAGAGAAAGGUUUAAUUUUCCAAUUUUCAAAUUAAUUCAAUUUAUU